ACGGUAUAGAACACAUUAAUUAACUGAAAAAUGUUGCAUAGUAUGCCUUUUAAUGAUAUAUGUUUAGUCUCAAAAAUAUUACAUUUUAUACUAUUUGCAGAUGAUACUAAUAUCCUUAGUUCUGGUAAAGAUUUAAAAACCUUAUUGGAGGCAAUAGAAAAAUAAUUGAAUAUAUUAAAAUGUUGGUUUGAUUCAAACAAAUUAACCUUAAAUCUAAAGAAAACAAAAUUUAUAAUAUUCACAAAUCAUGCUAUUAAUGUGCACACAAAAUUUAAAAUAAAUGACAGAUAUCGAAAGAGUAAGUGGUGUAAAAUUUGUUGGGGUAACAAUACAAAAUAAGUUAAGUUGGAAACCACAUAUUGACUAUAUCAGAUCAAAGUUAUUUAAAACAUUGGCAGUGUUAUAUAAAUUUAAAGGCCUUUUAAAUCAAAAAACAUUAUAUCUCUUGUACUGUUCAUUAGUUUUGCCUUACCUGAUGUACUGUAUUGAAGUGUGGGGAAACACCUAUAAAACUAAUUUAAACCCUUUGUUCAUAAUUCAAAAGAGAGAUAUUCGAAUUGUAAAUAAAGCAGAUUAUAGAGAGCAUACAAACCAAUAUUUUGUACAUUUAAAAACAUUAAAUUAAAUAAAAUUUAAAAUUUCAGAAAACCAAAAGCAAGAACAAAUGUAAAACAACAUUGUAUUUCUUUUGUUGGGGUUGAUGUGUGGAAAAAAUUAGAUCAGGAGCUAAAAGACUGUACAACAGUAAAAAAGUUUAAAAACAUAUUUAAGAAUAAUACGAUAAAAAAUUAUGAAUCAUGUGAAUGCAGUUAAGAGCUUAGAUACUGGGUGCGUUACCUUUUUUCCCCACAAUAUGUUAUUAUUGUAGAAUAAUACUUUUCCUAAAAUCAUAUGUUGGUAUGUAUUAUAAACGGUAGCCUUUUUAUCUUUUUUCUUUUUUUUCUUUUGCUUUCUAGUCCAAUGUAAAUUCUCUUUGCAGGGUAGCCAUUAUAAGCUUAUUGCUUCUGCCAAUACACCCUUUUUCAGACUGUUUUAAUUUAUGUUAUAUGGACAUAUACUGUCUUUAUUAUAUACUUGUGUGUCUGAAAUAAAUAAA